UACGUAGGGUGCAAGCGUUAAUCGGAAUUACUGGGCGUAAAGCGUGCGUAGACGGUAGCGUAAGUCGGGUGUGAAAGCCCCGGGCUCAACCCCGGAGCUGCAUUUGAAACUCCUGAGCUAGAGUUCAGUUAGGGUAAACGGAAUUCCACGUGUAGCGGUGAAAUGCGUAGAUAUGUGGAAGAACACCGGUGGUGAAGACGGUUUACUGGGCUGAGACUGACGCUGAGGCGCGAAAGCAUGGGGAGCAAACAGG
rnacentral:rRNA from 1 species